AGCGGUCCUUUCAUUCCUUUGACAUAUAUUUUUUUGUAUUAUCGGACAAAGCGAUAUCACAUAACAUCAUGUGUACAAGCGCAUUAUCUUUACUAUUUAUAAUGAAAUAAAAACUCUGAAAAUAACCGCUGUGUACGUUAUGAAUUUCAGUAAAAGGAGUCUUUGUGUUUAUUUUUGACACGACAUGGGAAUAAAAAAGAAAGAAAGAAAGAAAGCGAGUGACUGUGAUUCACUCCAGAGGAGAAUGAAACUCGGGAGACAAAUGUGUGUUUUUGAAGACACUCACGUGAACCCAACAACCAAAAUAGGCCGGACCGAAAGGGGAUCACCAGACAUCGUCCGACGCUGAACACAAACAAGCUUUCUCACGGCUGGUUGUAAACGCUCAUACAUCUGCAUGGGUCUCGAUCCCUAAAUGUUUCGGUUUUGUCUCGGUCUCAAAGCCCUCUGGUCUCGGGUAUGUCUUGGUCUCGGUGAGUCUGGUCUCGACUACAACACUAGUGAACACACCUUAAGGAUUUCAGGAGAGAGAUUAUUUCAGUAGGUACGAGGAAACGGAAAAGAAACCCAGGAGGUCGAGUCAGAAGAAACAACAUCGUUUUACUCUGGUGACACAUCGGAAAAAGAGGAGGAGUUUAAAAGGUUUUCAUCCAACAAGAACAAAGUGAUGAGUGUGUGUUACAACUUUGGGGUUUAUGUUGUAAAAUGUACGACUCUGUUCACUUUC